rnacentral:rRNA from 1 species
GUAUCAAUAAGCGGAGGAAAAGAAAUCAACAGGGAUUGCCUCAGUAGCGGCGAGUGAAGCGGCAAAAGCUCAGAUUUGAAAUCCGGCGCGUUUUCGCGCCCGAGUUGUAAUCUGGAGAGGAUGCUCCGGCGAGACCGGCCGCCCAAGUUCCUUGGAACAGGACGUCUCAGAGGGUGAGAACCCCGUACCCGGCGGCCGGGUUUAGCCAUGUGGAGCUCCCUCGACGAGUCGAGUUGUUUGGGAAUGCAGCUCAAACUGGGUGGUAAAUUCCAUCUAAGGCUAAACACUACUGCGAGACCGAUAGCGCACAAGUA